rnacentral:rRNA from 1 species
UAUAUCGGAACGUACCCUGGAGUGGGGAGGUAACGUAAGCGAAAGUUAACGUCUAAUAACCGCCAUACGAUCUUAAGGAAGUGAAAGUAGGGGGAGGUCGCAAGAACCUCAUGCUCCUGGAGCGGCCGAUAUCUGAUUAGCUAGUUGGUAGGGUAAAAGACCUACCAAGGCAUCGAUCAGUAGCUGGUCUGAGAGGACGACCAGCCACACUGGAACUGAGACACGGUCCAGACUCCUACGGGAGGCAGCAGUGGGGAAGUAUUGCACAAUGGGGGAAACCCGUGAUGCAGCCAUGCCGCG